rnacentral:rRNA from 1 species
AUUGAACGCUGGCGGCAUGCCUAACACAUGCAAGUCGAACGCUACUUGAGGGGCAACUCUUAAGUGGAGUGGCGGACGGGUGAGUAAUACGUAGGAAUCUGCCUUAGAGUGGGGGAUAACCUGUCGAAAGAUGGGCUAAUACCGCAUAACCUCUACGGAGCAAAGGGGGCUAGCAAUAGCUUUCGCUUUAAGAUGAGCCUACGUCGGAUUAGCUAGUUGGUAGGGUAAAGGCCUACCAAGGCGACGAUCCGUAGCUGGUCUGAGAGGACGAUCACACAAACUGAAACUGAGACACGGUCCAGACUCCUACGUGAGGCAGCAGUGGGGAAUAUUGGACAAUGGGGGAAACCCUGAUCCAGCAAUGCCGCGUGUGCGAUGAAGGCCUGCGGGUUGUAAAGCACUUUCGGUGGGGAAGAAAUACUCAAAUAUAAUACAUUUGAGAGCUGACAUUACCCAAAGAAGAAGCACCGGCAAACUCUGUGCCAGCAGCCGCGGUAA